rnacentral:rRNA from 1 species
UACAGAGGGUGCAAGCGUUGUUCGGAAUUAUUGGGCGUAAAGCGCGCGUAGGCGGUGGGUCAAGUCGGGUGUGAAAGCCCUCAGCUCAACUGAGGAAGUGCGCCCGAAACUGAAUCGCUAGAGUGUCGGAGGGGAAGGCGGAAUUCCCGGUGUAGAGGUGAAAUUCGUAGAUAUCGGGAGGAACACCAGUGGCGAAGGCGGCCUUCUGGACGAACACUGACGCUGAGACGCGAAAGCGUGGGUAGCAAACAGG